UGGGAUUACAGGCAUGAGCCACCAUGCCUGGCUCAAAAUUUCUUUUUUGUUCCUUUUAUGUUUUCUAUUUCUUUACUAAUAAUUCCAUAUUGUUCAUACAUCAUUUUCUUGACUUUGUCCACCUCUUCCUUUAGGUCUUAGAACAUCUUUAAGACAGUUGUCUUUGUCUAGGAAAAAGUUUUCUACUGCUUGGUCUUUCUCAGAGACUAUGUCUGCCAUCCAAGAGCCUGUAAGGAUAUGGACUAAAGCGAACCCUCAUCCAGAACUAGUUGGACUGUAAAUUAGUUCAGCCGCUUGGGAAAACAACUGGACAUUAUCAAAUGAAGUCAAAGGUGCAGAUCCUUCACUGAAUGUACAUACUGGAGAAACUGCAUGUGAUGGAGGAGUCACUCCCCAGGUUGCUCAGAGAGCACUGUUUGUAACAGCAAAAAGUCGGUUAUGAACCCAAAUGUUCAUAACAGAAGAAUGGAUACAUUGGAUAUAUUCACAUAAUAAAAUACUAUACAGCUGUGAAAAUCAA